rnacentral:rRNA from 1 species
CCUACGGGAGGCAGCAGUGGGGAAUAUUGCACAAUGGGGGAAACCCUGAUGCAGCGACGCCGCGUGAGUGAAGAAGUACUUCGGUAUGUAAAGCUCUAUCAGCAGGGAAGAAGAUGACGGUACCUUACUAAGAAGCCCCGGCUAACUACGUGCCAGCAGCCGCGGUAAUA